GGAGAUUGUUGUGACAAGUGUGAGUUAAGUCCCACAUUGCUUAGAAAAGUGGAGGUUGAACACUUUAUAAGUGAGAGAACCCAUAAACCUAACACCUUAAGGUUUUAGGUUAAAGUGUGUUAUCCAACUCACUUGCUAAGUUGUUCUUAGCCCAAUGCGAAUGAUCCCCUGGAUGCCCCUCGUGAUGACCCAACAGUGGUAUGACAAAGGUGUCAGGCGGCAUAAAGUUAGUGUGUUUUG
rnacentral:lncRNA from 1 species